ACGGCACCUUCGGGUGUAGUGGCGGACGGGUUAGUAACGCGUGGGAACGUGCCCUUCUCUACGGAAUAGCCUCGGGAAACUGAGCGUAAUACCGUAUACGCCCUUUGGGGGAAAGAUUUAUCGGAGAAGGAUCGGCCCGCGUUGGAUUAGGUAGUUGGUGGGGUAAUGGCCUACCAAGCCUGCGAUCCAUAGCUGGUUUGAGAGGAUGAUCAGCAACACUGGGACUGAGACACGGCCCAGACUCCUACGGGAGGCAGCAGUGGGGAAUCUUAGACAAUGGGGGCAACCCUGAUCUAGCCAUGCCGCGUGAGUGACGAAGGCCUUAGGGUCGUAAAGCUCUUUCGCUGGAGAAGAUAAUGACGGUAUCCAGUAAAGAAACCCCGGCUAACUCCGUGCCAGCAGCCGCGGUAAUACGGAGGGGGUUAGCGUUGUUCGGAAUUACUGGGCGUAAAGCGCGCGUAGGCGGAUUGGAAAGUUGGGGGUGAAAUCCCGGGGCUCAACCCCGGAACGGCCUCCAAAACUCCCAGUCUUGAGUUCGAGAGAGGUGAGUGGAAUUCCGAGUGUAGAGGUGAAAUUCGUAGAUAUUCGGAGGAACACCAGUGGCGAAGGC
rnacentral:rRNA from 1 species